rnacentral:sRNA from 1 species
UGGAUAUCUGCGAUAUGGAAGAUUCGAACCURCCGCAGGUYCKGGWCUCACGYAGUGAGACAACGGAGCCGCUUGCGGCGACGGCCCGAAGGGCGAGCRAAGCGAGUCAUCCUGCACGACCCACCA